ACUCGUUGGCUCUGGUUUCAGAUUGCAUCAGUCCAGGAGCUAAUUCCAGGCCCAAAACUAAGAACAAGCUUUGACUUGAUCUUUAAGUUACUUUCAGGAUGGAUGUUUCCAGAUUUUGAUUUUAAGAUGCUGAAUUUUGCCUGCCCAUGGAAACUGAGUAUAAACAUGGAAGCAAUUGAGUUUCUAGAGGAAGGUCACUCUACGAGUCUCAAGGACCGGUCAAUGGGCUUUCUAGAGGCGAGAAGUCCAAGAUCCAGAGUCAGCCGAGUUGGCUUCUUCUAAGGAGCCUGAAGGAAGACUCUGUGCGGGCCUUGCUCCUUGGCUUCUGGGUGGCUGUCUUCUUCCUGUGUUUUCACAUUGUCUUCUCUCUGUCUGUGUCUGUGUCCACAUUUCCCCUUCUUACAAGGACACCAGUUAUAUUGGAUUAGGGUCCACCAUAAUGAUGUCAUGUUACCUUAAUUACCUCCGUAAAGACCCUGUCUCAAAAAAAAAGGCUCUUCACGUUGUAAGGUUCUGGAGGUUAGGACUUCAACAUAGGAAUAUGGGACGUAUUUCAGCCCUUAAUAUCACAUAUGACUAGAUGAUCCAAAUCUUUGUCUUGCCUGUUUUCUCAUAUCCACAUCUCUGAGAUACUCAAAACCAUUAUGUUUCCCUGCAAGAUAUGUCUGGGGGAACCUAUAAUUCUGAGCAAUUAUUUUUCUAGGCAUGAUUUAUUUUUAAUGACUACUAAAAGGAAAGUUUUGGGUUCAGAAAGAUUAUUCUACUUGAAAUGUGGCUCCAUCCAGCCAAUAUUCUACUGUUUUGGCAAAGUUUUAAAAGAGAAUAAAGAGAGAUGAUGUUGGAGAAUGGUUUUGACAGGUUAUUAUUUGCAGGGUACUAGGAUUCAUGGUAAAAAAAAAAUUUUUUUCCAAAACACUUUACAUGAGGCGAAAGGGAGGCCUAUUUAAUGACAUUAUUUUCAAUAAUUCAAGUGAUAUCAUUACCAUCAUUUACCAUCACCACUAGUUACUAUUUAUUUCUAUCCAUGGGAAAACUGAGAUGGCUUAAUCACUUGCUCAAGGUCUAACAGAUUCUAACUGAUGUCUGCCCCAAGUCUGACUCCAGGGUUUAAGCUCUCAACCAUUAAGAAUAACAAAAAGAAACAAAAGGACUCCAAUGUUCUUUACAGUACACUUCUGAGGAAGUGAUACACCUAAGUAUCCAGGUAUACCUAAAUGAGCACCCAAGUUUGCCUUCAGUCUUAAUGUAUACCUAACCUUUAUCUUAAAAUGAUACUUUAUUGUUCAGUGUUUGUGUCAUUGUUGAUAUGCUGUGUCAAAAUGAGUUUGUCUGUCUAUCUGUCUUAGAUUCUGAAUUUAUAAAGGACACAAUCUACAACCAGCUCUAUGUUAGGUCAUUUAUUCAGGUGUUGAAAUCAUCACAAGACUUUUCUGAGAACUCUAGAUCUUCCAAAGUGGCAGAAAGUUGAUUGCUGCCUCAGCAGUACCAGUUGGAGCACUGGGUAUGCACCAUCGUGUUUAGUGGAGCUCGUGUUCAAAAGAAGCCUCCCAGAAUCCUUCCUCUAAUCCUUAAUAUUAGAAGCACGUGAACUGAAACACUAAUUGCAAAGUCUGUCUCUGAGAGCAAAGCACAGCCCACACAGCUACACAGUAUAUCCAGGGCCGUCACCUUUUACUUUGAGGAGAAAGGACAAGAGCAAGAGACGUGGGGAAACCUCUCUCUGGAGUGUAAAUGAAGAUAUCAGAUUGCAUUCAGUCAUCAUGUUCCCUUCAUCUCCAAUCUAUGACGGUUGUUUGGUGUUUCCUUGUGUCUCAUGACCUUGACAGUUUCGGAGGCCAUCGAUCAGGUGUUUUGUAGACGGUCCCUCCAUUUGGACUUGUCAUGAUGACAUUAGGAAUAUGGAUUUUGGGGGAAGAAUACUGCAGGGAUGAACUGCAUCCUAUCAGGGGUGCGUGGUAUCAACGUGACUUAAGAUGGGUGAUGUUAACCUUGAGCACUUGGCCAAGUUGGUAUCUCAGGUUUGUCUAUUUAUUGUUUCUGUUUCCAUAUGCUGUUCUUUAGAAGAGAGUCACUAACUAAAUCCAGCCCACACUCAAAGAGUGGGGAAUCCUUAUUUAAUAUUUCUUUUUACCCCCCACUUCUAAAACUCCACUCAGUUCCUGAGCCUUUGGAAGAUUCUGUGAUAGACAUCAAUUUAGCUCUUGGCUUUCCCCACUAUAUCACUUUUCUGCACUCCAGCUAGCCAAAUUUUGUUUCUAUUAUCUCCCUUGUCUUUGUAUGUAUGAUUUUAUGGGCUUUAAAAAAAUCUAUUUAUGGUAGUUUUAGUGGGGUUUCAGGGGAAGUGAAAUUGAAUUAUUAUGUUCAAUCUACCAUCUUUAUCUGGAAGCCUUGGGGGAACAUUUUUUAAUCAUCAAAAUUGACAUUUAAUCUGUUUGGAUUUGCCAUUUCUGUUUGUUAUAAUUCUACCAUUAAUAUAAUCCACGGACUCACUGAAUGUUUUUUGGGGUAUCAUUUUUGUAUUUCAUAAAACAUUGUGAUCACUCAAGAAACUCAGUUCACAGUAAGUAAGAGAAGUAAGGCUUCUCAUGUUGGUUAUGUGAUUGGUCCUAAUUAUCAAAGGUAAAUUAGGGUUACUGCUAUAAAGCCAGACUUAUGUAGCCUAAGAACUGCUUCUUUUUACAUGCCCUGUUAUUAAGUCUAACAAAAAACAAAGCAGACUUGGAUACCUCGGGAAUCUAAAGUUGGGUUAGUCAACCAGGCAAAGAGCCCUAGCUGGCUGAUGCUAGCCAAAGGCAACCCAAACGUGAAUGAGUAGAGGAGUAGAGUUAAAAUAUCCACAAUAGCUUCUUGACUAGUCGCAUAAAUGAAGACAGGAGGCCUCUGGAUAUUUACUGCUUUUCCUUUCUUCUCCCUUGUCUCUCAUCUUUAUGUUUCUAGAGCAGUUAGAUUCACAGUACAGUGGAGAGGAAGGUACAGAGAUUUCCCACAUUCUCCCUGCCCCCACCCAAGUGAAUCCUCCUCCACCCGAGUGGUGCAUUUUAAUUUUAAUUAAUUAAUUACCAAGGAUGAAUCUGUAUUGACAUAAUCACCCAAGGUCCAUAGUUUACCUCAGAGUUCAGUCUUGGUGCUGUAUUUGCAUGAGUUUGGACAAAUAUAUGAUGACAUAUGUCUGUCGUUACAGUAUUUCCACUGCCCUAAAAAUCCUCCUCACUCUCUUCCUGUUCAUCCCUCCUCCGAUCCCCUGAUUUUCACUGAUCUUCUGUCUCUAUAGUUUUGCCUUUUCCAGAACAUCCUAGAGUUGAAAUCAUACAGUAUGCAGUCUUUUCUCCUCUUUUAUUUUCCUACAAUUUUAUAUAAAGUACUUUCAUAUUGGUUUUGUUUAUCAUUUAGUGACUAGAUUGCAUUUUUCUCCUAUGCAUAAAUUUAUGGUUUUUGUUACUUUUUCUACUGGUAAUGUGACUAUCUGGCUCAAAAGCCAAAACAGCACAGAAUAUAUAUUGAGAAAACUCCCUCUUGCUCUGUCUACCUUGUUCUCCUUUGCCUUACCCACUGUAAGUAACCACUUUUGUUUUUUGUGUGUCUUUAUGUUUCCUUAUGCAAGUGCAAGCAUAUAUUCUUCUUCUUCCACAAAACAUAACACACUAUACUGUUCUGUGCUCUAUCUUCAUUGAAUAAUUUGUAUUAGUACAAGGGGGUUUUCCUUGUUCUUUUUUACAGCUCUAUAAAUGUUCUAAUAUUUAUUUAACGAGCUCCCUUACAGAAAGAGACUUGUGUUUGUUUCUCAAAAUACCAUUGGUUUUGCCAAUAGAAUGAACUUCUACAAGUCUCAUUUUGAAGGUGUGUAGAUAUAUUUUUAUGAAUUCCUGGGAGUGGAAAAGUUGCAAAAUAUUGACUUAGCAUUAUAGUGCACCUAGAGUGGGAUUAGCUAUCAUUUGUUUCAAUAGUCAGGGACAAUGAGGAAAAUAGCAACUGUCUUCAGUAUUUACAGAGAAAAUAUACUACAGGGAAGUGGCUGCCAAAUGAUAGAACUGAGUGCUUAACUGAGAAAGUGAAGCAAUCCAAAGAUUAGUAACAGUGGAAGAGCCAGUGCCUGUACCCUGGAAAGAUAAAAGUAAGAAAGCUGUGUUACUGAGUCCCGGAGCUGGGGCUCAUCUGUUUGAGGCUUAGAGCUCUAAGGGCCUGUCUGGUGAGCCCUGGGGCCCUUAUAGAGUUGCAGUCACUGCCAGAGAGUGCUUGAGAUAGAAGGGAGAGGGAGAGAAGUAUCCUGGUUUAGUCCUUCCUGCCCCUGUCCUCCAGUCUUUCAGAAAUCAGCUGAUAGUAGGCCUGAGAACCACAGUUAAGAGAAGCCAGUGCCCCCUCUGAUAUGUUGCAGAGCAGUAGAAGGGCAGACAUGAAUUUGAGGACAAAUGUGCUCAGCAUCUAGAUAGUCCACCCCUUUUUACUACAUUUAAGUUCACUCUUCUACUCACAUUUAAUACCUUCCUACUUCCUACUUCUGUCUUACUAACAAAGACAUUCCUUCUCCCCAAACAAGAAGAGAGACCCAAAGUCCCAUUAGUCAUUGUAUCCUCUUCAAGUUCAGGAUCUACUGGUGAUCCUCAUUCCUCUUUAGCAGGUCUAGAGGUGACUUGUGGCCUGAUGAUUUAUGAACAAAAUUGUAAAUUAAGUUCCACCCACACUCCGUACAAAGCUGUAAAGGGGAAGGAGAAAAAGUAUAAAUCAUUGGUUAAUAUGUACUUAACUAAAAUACAACACACUUUGGUG